AGUGAACUGUCAUCUAUUCCUACUGUUAAAACCUCGCAUAAUUGUCUGAAUAACCAAAUAGUGACAUGUGGCGUGCCAUGUGUACCUCAUGUUAACAUAAAGAGACCAGUUUUUAAUGGUAGAAAUGGAUAAAUUUUUAACA
rnacentral:pre_miRNA from 1 species